AACGAACGCUGGCGGCAUGCCUAACACAUGCAAGUCGAACGAGGCCUUCGGGUCUAGUGGCGCACUGGUGCGUAACGCGUGGGAACCUGCCCUCAGGUUCGGAAUAACUCCCCGAAAGGGGUGCUAAUACCGGAUAAUGUCUUCGGACCAAAGAUUUAUCGCCUUUGGAUGGGCCCGCGUUGGAUUAGCUAGUUGGUAGGGUAAAAGCCUACCAAGGCGACGAACCAUAGCUGGUCUGAGAGGAUGAUCAGCCACACUGGGACUGAGACACGGCCCAGACUCCGACAGGAGGCAGCAGUGGGGAAUAUUGGACAAUGGGCGAAAGCCUGAUCCAGCAAUGCCGCGUGAGUGAUGAAGGCCUUAGGGUUGUAAAGCUCGUUUAACCGUGAUGAUAAUGACAGUACCGGGAGGAUAAGCUCCGGCUAACUCCGUG
rnacentral:rRNA from 1 species